rnacentral:piRNA from 1 species
UCCACCUGCCCUGGGACAACUGCCUCC